rnacentral:tRNA from 1 species
GGGCGUGUAGCUCAGCGGAGCAGAGCAGAUGAGUGCGAACCAUCAGGUCGCCGGUUCGAAUCCGGCUGCGCCCU